UACGUAGGGACCAAGCGUUGUCCGGAAUCAUUGGGCGUAAAGCGCGCGUAGGUGGCUUCGUAAGUCCGUUGUGAAAGUCAAAGGCUCAACCUUUGAAAGCCGAUGGAUACUGCGGAGCUAGAGUACGGAAGAGGCGAGUGAAAUUCCUGGUGUAGCGGUGGAAUGCGCAGAUAUCAGGAGGAACACCAAUGGCGAAGGCAGCUCGCUGGGACGGUACUGACGCUGAGACGCGAAAGCGUGGGGAGCAAACAGG
rnacentral:rRNA from 1 species